UACAGAGGUGGCAAGCGUUGUUCGGAAUUACUGGGCGUAAAGGGCGCGUAGGCGGUCUUGUAAGUCUUGUGUGAAAUCCCUCGGCUUAACUGAGGAACUGCACGAGAUACUGCGAGACUUGAGUUCGGGAGAGGAAAGCGGAAUUCCGGGUGUAGCGGUGAAAUGCGUAGAUAUCCGGAGGAACACCGGUGGCGAAGGCGGCUUUCUGGACCGACACUGACGCUGAGGCGCGAAAGCUAGGGGAGCAAACGGG
rnacentral:rRNA from 1 species